CCCUUAGACGUCCUGGGCUGCACGCGCGCUACACUGAUGUGUCCAGUAAGCACCUAACCUCUUCCGAAAGGAACGGGUAACCUUUGCAAAGCACAUCGUGAUGGGGAUAGAUUAUUGCAAUUAUUAGUCUUGAACGAGGAAUUCCUAGUAAGCACAAGUCAUCAGCUUGUGUUGAUUACGUCCCUGCCCUUUGUACACACCGCCCGUCGCUCCUACCGAUUGAAUGUUCCGGUGAGCUCUUCGGACUGCGCGGUCUGCAGUUUCUGCGUUCCGUGCGGAAAGUUGCGCAAACCUUAACAUUUAGAGGAAGGAGAAGUCGUAACA
rnacentral:rRNA from 1 species